GCUGGAAUCGCUAGUAAUCGCAGGUCAGCAUACUGCGGUGAAUACGUUCCCGGGUCUUGUACACACCGCCCGUCACACCAUGGGAGCCGGAAAUGCCCGAAGCCAGUGACCCAACCUUAGGGAGGGAGCUGUCGAAGGUGGAGCCGGUAACUGGGGUGAAGUCGUAACAAGGUAUC
rnacentral:rRNA from 1 species